UACGGAGGAUCCAAGCGUUAUCCGGAAUCAUUGGGUUUAAAGGGUGCGUAGGCGGUCCUUUAAGUCAGCGGUGAAAUCCCACGGCUCAACCGUGGAACUGCCGUUGAUACUGAGGGACUUGAGUUCGUCCGAGGUCGCUGGAAUGCGUGGUGUAGCGGUGAAAUGCAUAGAUAUCAGGAGGAACACCGGUGGCGAAGGCGGGAUCCUGGGCCAGUACUGACGCUGAGGAGCGAAAGCGUGGGGAGCAAACAGG
rnacentral:rRNA from 1 species